rnacentral:ncRNA from 1 species
CCCCGAAAGGGUAAGUAUUACCCUUUCGGGGACAGUGUAUCAAGUAGCA